UACAGAGGUCCCAAGCGUUGUUCGGAUUCACUGGGCGUAAAGGGUGCGUAGGUGGUCGGGUAAGUCUGAUGUGAAAUCUCCGAGCUUAACUCGGAAAUGGCAUUGGAUACUAUUCGGCCGGAGGUUUGGAGGGGGGACUGGAAUUCUCGGUGUAGCAGUGAAAUGCGUAGAUAUCGAGAGGAACACCAGUGGCGAAAGGCGAGUCCCUGGACAACACCUGACACUGAGGCACGAAAGCUAGGGGAGCAAACAGG
rnacentral:rRNA from 1 species